AUCAAUACUACCUCGAGUCGAGCAGAUACUGAGCCUUCCGUAGUACAGAGUCGUUGGGAAAGCCUAAACCGCCAUCAUGUCCGACGCUUAUUUCGACGAGUACGACCACUACAACUUCGACGACAAGCUCGUCCAUUCAAGAGGAAGCGGCAAGAAUCGGUCCAAGGUGGAGGCCGAGCAGAACAAACAGACCGAUAAUUGCGGUCAUACUAGAAAGAUAGUCAAUAACAUGAGAAAUAAUGAAGCUAACAACAGAGUGACGCAAGCAACGGCGAUAAAACAUUAACUGAAAUUAACAAAUAUUUACGAAUCGUUGACGUCGAACCAAAGCAUAGUAGAGAAGACCAACGGAAUUGAAUCGCCUUUUGGAUUGUGGGACCAGAGUUGCUGCAAUGUCUGCAAAGCAAGGUUGACAAGGCAAUGGACUCCAGCCUAACUUGGAAGCCGAGCAAACCGAGCAAACGUGUUCCAUGGGUGUAUUUCACACGCCUGCGAAGUUGAUAAACUUCGCAAAACUUCCAUUGUUCAUCGCAUGUCACCAUCAAGCGACAGAUGCAGUGUCCCUUUGUUAUAUUGUUAAAUCGGCAAGGAUUGGGCUUACCAACACAGGAUGAUUAUGCUGUGUGCGGGGCCCAUUCUUCCCGUGGGACAUAAUGCUUCAUACGGGGACCUUGUCGGGAAUGACCUUUUUGUAGACUCAUUUCAUAAUUAUUAUUUAUCUUUGCCUGGGGUUAGCUUUCACAGGAGUUUACAAUUUAUGUUCGAUUCGUUUUUUUUUUCUAUUUAUAGUAGUCAGUUGCGGGACUUCCGAGUCAAGCAUGUUGUUCUUCUCAAGUGGUACAAAUAUACUAAGGCAUAUCUGGUAACUUCUCAAGGAUGCCAGUUAGCUACACUGAAGAGCACGAGUUGAGCUCCUCUUGCUUACCAGCUGCUCAUAAGUGCCCAUGUUGUGAUAAUAAAAGAUAAUUUUUUA